AAAUUAAACUUGACGAAGAUGGAUUAAUUAGAAGUCUUGUGGAGGAAAAGUAAAGGAUAGUAAUAAAUUAAUUAGAAAUAAAAUGGUGAGAAUUAUAAAUGACAGGGGGAAUAUUUAAAUACAUUAAUUGAAAGUUUAGUAGUGGGUUAUUUUAGAUGUAUUAAUUAGAUACGUUAAUUAAAAAUUUAAUGGAGAAUUUAAAUACAUUAAUUAGAAGUUUAGUAGUAGACCAUUUUAAAUGUAUUAAUUAGAUACGUUAAUUAAAAAUUUGAUGAAGAGAAGGGGAAGAAUCACAUGGUGGUGAAGGUGAAGAAAAACUUGAUAGGAACUAUUUAAAUACAUUAAUUGGAAGUUUAAUAAUAAGCCAUUUUAGAUGUAUUAAUUAGAUACGUUAAUUAAAAAUUUAAUGGAGAAUUUAAAUACAUUAAUUAGAAGUUUAGUAGUAGACCAUUUUAAAUGUAUUAAUUAGAUACGUUAAUUAAAAAUUUAAUGGAGAAUUUAAAUACACUAAUUGGAAGUUUAGUAAUAGGCCAUUUUAGAUGUAUUAAUUAGAUACGUUAAUUAAAAAUUUGAUGGAGAGAAGAGAAAGAAUCACAUGAUGGUGAAGAUGAAGAAAAACUUGGCACGUGACAAAACAUAUUGAGGAUUCAUAUAAUUUAUUUAUUUAAUAGAUGACGAGUAAAUAAUCCAAGUUCACUAGGAUUUGGUCUGGAGUAUUUUGCUAUAAAUAGAUAAAGGU
rnacentral:lncRNA from 1 species